UACGUAGGGUGCAAGCGUUAUCCGGAUUUAUUGGGCGUAAAGGGCUCGUAGGCGGUUCAUCGCGUCCGGUGUGAAAGUCCAUCGCUUAACGGUGGAUCCGCGCCGGGUACGGGCGGGCUUGAGUGCGGUAGGGGAGACUGGAAUUCCCGGUGUAACGGUGGAAUGUGUAGAUAUCGGGAAGAACACCAAUGGCGAAGGCAGGUCUCUGGGCCGUUACUGACGCUGAGGAGCGAAAGCGUGGGGAGCGAACAGG
rnacentral:rRNA from 1 species